AACGAACGCUGGCGGCAUGCCUAACACAUGCAAGUCGAACGAGACCUUCGGGUCUAGUGGCGCACGGGUGCGUAACGCGUGGGAACCUGCCCUUAGGUUCGGAAUAACUCCCCGAAAGGGGUGCUAAUACCGGAUAAUGUCUUCGGACCAAAGAUUUAUCGCCUUUGGAUGGGCCCGCGUUGGAUUAGCUGGUUGGUAGGGUAAAAGCCUACCAAGGCGACGAUCCAUAGCUGGUCUGAGAGGAUGAUCAGCCACACUGGGACUGAGACACGGCCCAGACUCCUACGGGGGGCAGCAGUGGGGAAUAUUGGACAAUGGGCGAAAGCCUGAUCCAGCAAUGCCGCGUGAGUGAUGAAGGCCUUAGGGUUGUAAAGCUCUUUUACCCGGGAUGAUAAUGACAGUACCGGGAGAAUAAGCUCCGGCUAACUCCGUG
rnacentral:rRNA from 1 species